rnacentral:lncRNA from 1 species
CUCGUAAAUCGCAUAUGACUUUUUCUUUUCUACUAAAGUUGAUAGAUUCCAUCUAGGUGCAUCCUACUCCAAACAGCGAAUCUGAAUCUACUGAAGCCAACAUACACAGCAAAAAUUCGAAUGGCUAGGGAUCAAAAGAACGUGCAGUCAAACCCAGUAGCCUCACUGCAAAUAGCUAAUGGCACCGCAGGUCAAAGGACCAUUCACACCACU